rnacentral:rRNA from 1 species
AACGUGGGUUCCGAGCGUUAUCCGGAUUUACUGGGCGUAAAGCGUGUUCAGGCGGCUCAGCAAGUCGGGCAUGAAAUCUCUCGGCUCAACCGGGAGAGGCUGUCCGAUACUGCUGGGCUUGAGGGCAGUAGAGGGUGGUGGAAUUCCGGGUGUAGUGGUGAAAUGCGUAGAUAUCCGGAGGAACACCAGUGGCGAAAGCGGCCACCUGGACUGUACCUGACGCUCAAACACGAAAGCUAGGGGAGCGAACGGG